AAGAGGGAAAAAGUUGGAAGGAAAAACGUCAGUGUUUUGGUUCUGUUUGUCGAAACUGUAGAUCUUUUGCUGCUUGAAUUCAAUGUCUGUGGCAUUGCGUUUCACUAGCCAGUAGUCAAGGUAUUGUCCCAUUUCUUCGUUCCAAAACACGGCAUUUAUGGCAGUUUUUCUCGACGUUGCAUGCUUGUGAAAUCGCCUUUGGAGCUCUUGCUUUCCUAAGAGCUUGGCAAAAUACGCGAUAUUGUUUUCCAUCUACAGCAAACGAAAGAUGCUUAUCAAAUAUAAUUUACGCUAAACAGAGCUGCUUGCCUGUAGCAAAAACGAGUUGAGAUCCACAGGAAGAAUAUAGGCCGUCACAAGUGUUGUUCGGUUUAGGCGAUUCCUGAAAUAUUAGAAAGAACCCUGGUGAAAAAAUGAAUAAAACCUUUUUGUAUGCAACGAUUUAUGACACUUACGCCAUCCAGCGGGAGCUGAAAUCCCAGCCACUUUCAGCAGCGGUCGCGAUUUGGUGGUAAAGCUUGGAUCUUUCCUUCGAACUUCCCAAGUUCUUGGCAGUGUCAGUGUCAACAAUAUACGAUUCUGGCCUUGGCGAGUACAAAUUCGCGUUGUAUCUCGUUAGUACGUGCUUAACCCCAUGACCAUCGCGAAUGUGGACUGUGAAACGAUCUAGAGAUGUCCAAAUGUAAAAAAGAUUAAAAGAAAAACACAAUACAAGAACUUAAAAUUGCUUGCCUGACGACCAAAAUGAAUGUUCUUUUAAGAGUGCAGGAAAAGCUUCCUCUAUUAGCGAUUUAUUCUUGGUUUCGGCGUAUACUGCCUUGACGGAUUCGCUAAGAAGCGGAGGCUGGCUUCCUGCAUAAUUAUAAAACGUAAGCUCAAAACAAAGGAGAGAAUCAAAAUGGCUAGAAAUAGCUUACGAUUGAGAUAAUAGCUCCGAGCACCAUUGGGAACAAAUCCGUAAGUAUUGACGAGGUAAAUGAGAUUUCCGACAACCGAUGUGGCUGUUUCAUACAAUUUACUCACGAGAAGUCCCCUGGAAAAUGAAGAAGAAAAAAAAAAGAGAUUACACAUACCAAAAAAAAUAAAGAAAAGUUGUGUACCUGAUGAUCCAGUAAGUGUCCCAGUAGUAAACUUCGCGAAACCUCGAUCCAGGAAUCACAACAACGUUUGGAAGCGGGAGCAAAGUAUGGCGCUGUGGUUUCUCGACCACCUCGCGCUUGAUCUUCUUUGCCAAACCUUUCCACAGCGAAUGUAUUUUUAGAGCGAAAUCCCGAGCCGAGGCAUCCUUGACUUUGGGAAGGAACCCCUCGGGGGUGUUUGCAAAGUCCGAGAGAUUGUAGUCUCCCAGGUCAGUCCCUGGCACGUCGAAAUGCUCGCUCACAAAUCCAUUAAACUUUCCUGUCGAGUAGCAAUGAUAGGAGCGAGAAAAAAAAAGAUGAAAAAGUUUUCGCGAACCUUUAUCAAUGUUGCUCCGGGAGAGAUUCACAAAAGCCGAUUUUGUGACCUCCAAGUCCUGCUUGAGCGGCAGAUCGACGUAGUACUUCGGAUCAAAGGUCCCGUUUUCAUUGCCCAGGACCUGAAAGGCGGUGGACUGCACAGAGGUAAGAAACGAUUCCAGAGGAGUUGUAUCAUUGGUGCUAGCUCCUGCGAUGGAUCACAAAACUUUGAGCGAUAUCUUUGAGGAAAAGAAGCACACAAGCAAAAACUUCGAAGAGUACCUGAGAUGGAUCCUGGCAGGAGCAGUAGCAGCAGCAGCGCAAACAAAUCCAGAGCUCUCAACGCCAUUGCCAUUGCUGAUACCGUCCUUGCCAUGGCCGUGACAAACUUUAGUCCAAAUGGAAGGACUAAAGCGUCGGAGCUUCGUUGCAAAUGGGGACUAUGAGUAUAACGUCAGAGCCCAGAAGAGCCGGCCGCCUUGUUGGAAAUUUGUUGACUCGGACUUGCACGAGUAAAUCUUGGAGCGACGUGUUGGUGUCAACCAUGUGUUCCAAUCUCGUGGCAUAGAUGGUCGCUCUCGCUCUAAAAAAAAAAUGUUAUAACUUUGGCUCGUCCUUGAGAACUUUCAUCGCGAAUUAGUCUUUGGUGAGUUUUAAGUCUUUGAGGAAACACGAUUUGUCCAGAAAGCAAAAGUAAAACACGCUGGAACGAAGAAUUCAAUAAAAAUCCAAGCAAGGAUUUAUCUAUACGCUAGAUUGGACACGAUUCAUCCAGAAAGGUUAAAAAAAAAACCAUUCUGGAACGAAGAAUUCAAAGACCAAAUGAUAAAUCUAAGCAAGGAUAAGCAAGAAUUAUCUAUAUUGGUUCGUCCAGAAAGGAAAAGGAAAACAAGCUAGAACGAAGACCAAGUGAUAAAAAUCCAAGCAAGAAUUUAUCUACAUUAGAUUGGAACUAACAAUUGACACGAUUCAUCCAGAAAGUAAGAAAAAACCAUGCUAGAAAGACCAAGUGAUAAAUCUAACCAAGGAUUUAUCGGAACUCAAGAGGAAGAAAAACACUACAUUGGGAAGAAAAAAAUAAUGCUGGAACGAAGAAUUCAAAGACCAAGGAUUUAUCUACAUUUGACACGAUUCAUCCAGAAAGGAUGCUGGAACGAAGAAUUCAAAGACCUUGAAGCAAGGAUCUAUCUACAUUGGGAGAGGAGAGUCACCUCGCCUCAUAAGCCCUAAAGCGCGUCACCGUCCACGUGUCCUCCAUCCAACAGGCACCAUGCUUGAGCGACUCCCAUUGGCCGGCUUAAAGUGACAGAAUAUUCGAGGAAUAACCAAUUUUUUUUUAAUUCUUAAUUACUAAACUUGUAAAUAUCCCAAUAUUCUUCCAUGUCAACACUCAAUUUCAUGAUCUUCUUUCUUGCAUAAAUUGAUCUUUUCUUGCUCUAGAGGUAUUUUAUAAUCCAAAGCUCUAACCAAUCGUAAUUACUAAAAUUAUUAAUAAAAUACUAAAGAAAAAUAAAUAAAUAAAUUUGUGUUAAACACUCUAAAUGUAAAAGAACUUAAUUUGGGUAUGGGUCUCAAAGCAAGUCUUGAGUUCACAUGCCAUAAGAAAAAUAAGAGGCUUGAAUCCCAUUAUCUAUCAUAAUAAGGAGGUAGUGGGCUGCCAAAUCCAACCAAUUGCAGAUGUCCGAUGGGGGGUAACUAUAAAGGGGUUAUUUAUUUAACCAUGUCUUAUUGAAUAAUCAUGUUAAUGUUUGCUCUCGGCCAAUGGAAGGAGGCCAAGCUGCGUGAGGCGAGAAGAAAGUGUUGUGACAUGUGGCACAUACAAAUGUGUUGACCAUGACUACACUUGUAUUUUGUUGAGCAAAAAGGAGUUCGAUUUGCUCUAAGCCUGCGCAGAGCUCGACAAUCCAUUGCCUCCCGAAUUGUCCAAAGACCUUCUCGAACACUGAGACAUCACAUUGUUCAUUUGAAAAGCGGCAUGAUUUUGAGAAGAAUUCCAAUAAUCCCAUUAGGGCCCAAUAGAAUGUUCCUGGGGGGGGCAAAUUGAAGAAUGCAGAAGAGAUUUGACCCUCCCGAGCAUCAAAUUGUAAAGAACCAACUCCCCGAGGUGUCAUAGGCUAAAGGAUCCCCGAAAGCAUAACCGAAAUAACAAAGAAUUCAUCGGAUGGGACCGAGUCAAAGAUCGAGUCCAAGACCGACUCUGAGACUGAGUUCGAGAUAGAGUCCGGAAUCGAGUCCGAGGCCAAAUCAGAGACCGAGUUCGAGACCAAGUUCGAGACAGAGUCCGAGAUCCAAAUCGAGUCCGAGACCGAGUCCGAGGUCGAGUCCGAAGUCGGGUCCGAGAUCGGGUCCGAGAUCGAGUUUGAGAUCGAGUCCGAGACCGAGUCCGAAGUCGGGUCUGAGAUCAAGUCCAAGAUCGAGUUCGAGACCGAGUCCGAGUACUAAUAUGGGUCCAAGGGGUGAAAGCCCAAAGUGUGUGUAUCCCGGGGGGGGUGGGGGGGGACUGCAAAGGGUUCCAAAAGUAUAGUAGGGAUAAUGAGGUCUAGGAACCAGUCUUGAAGGAACUUUUCAGUGGUGCUUCUAAACUGACUUGAGGUUGAGAUUGGGGCUGAGGGGCCUUGGGUGGGAGUGAGCAUGGACUCGGAUGGUGCUAAAGGGGCCACCCAAGGAAGUGCUCAAGAGCAGCUCCCACUCCCGAAAGGGAAAACGAUUGCGGUGCUCCCAGAUCAUGUGGAGUGGUGCCCCACUUAAGUACCUUGUGGCUCAUUGGUCCUCGCCCUUCCUAGGGGCUUGGGCCUUCCCUUUGGGAUAGAAGUGGGGGGGUAGAGGUACCCAUACCAGGUUGUUAAGUCACGAUGUUUCGCCCCAAUGUCCCGAAGCAAGUGUUGCACCCAAAGCUUGGGAUUUAGAGGGUCCCAUGAUCAAGCUUUGUUGUACUAAGAACCUAGAGGCUUGGUGUGUUUGGCUGCUUGUGCAUACGGGGAGUGUAGCUGAACCUUAAGUCUAGUCUAACCCAGAGAGGGGGAUUGGGAGAGAUUUGGGAAUCCGUGGAGGGAUGGCUAACACUCCGUUGCUUGUGCAAUGAGUAGCUGAAACCAAGUAGGACCAAAUAGGAGUUGGUAUAGUAGGCGGGAACCUUGGCGAGGGAACUUAGCACAAGCCAAGGCAGUGUUGGUCGGAUAGACGAGGUAAAUUGGCAAAUUGGAAAAGAAAAAUUUGUGGUUUUACACAAAUCACACAAAACAAGCACUAAAGCGCACAGAAUCAUAACAACAAUGCAGCAAUCUUGUGAAACAAUGCAAGAAAUUGUAAGGAUCCCAUCGAGAAAUCCAUACCCUAGGUAGAUCAAUUGCAAUCUCCAAUCCAAAACCCCUCCACCCGCAUAGUGCCAAACUAGCGCCCUUGCUCUCGACUAUGUGGAGGUCCAAAUAGCUAAACCUUUGUCCAUAGAGCACCGUUGGAUCUCAUACCAGCUGGCAAGCCAAUCAAACAGACUUCCUUUUUCCCCUAUCCCUAUGUCUCUCUCUUGCUUGCUAAAUCCAAGUGUUUUGAUAGUCUGCGAUUGUAGCUUAAAUUGGCUUCUUUAAAAAUUUGGUGCCAAGAACAUCCAAGUAGAGCAUGUCAAUAGUAAAGGAGACAGACCCAAUAAUAUUGUGGACUUUAGUAAGCAUGUUGUUAGGGUUUGUUAUGGGUUUUUGUGAGAAUCUUCUAUAGUGCAUCAGAAUAUUCUGGAAGGAGCAUAUUCUUCUCCAUUGUGAGAAUAUUCUAGAAUUCUGAGAAACUCAAAUCAAUCUAGCCAUUGGUUGAUCUAGCUAGCAAAGUGUUCCAGUGCUUGUGGCAAAGGCUCCUCUUUUCUCAAAGAAGGCACUACGACACAUAUCACAUAUUGUCGCGAAUGUGACUUCAGAUAUCGAAAGUUACCUGUCGGCUAGUCCUUAUGGACACUCUUACCUUACUGCCACGAUGGCAGGAGGUCGGUAUUGCUGGACCCGUUAUCAGUUUCCCACUUGAGCUAGUUGAGAAACUGGUCAAUGACCAUGAACUUAGAUUUGAUAAACAUAGUGUCGCGAAUGUGACUUCAGGUAUCGAAAGUUACUUGUCAGCUAGUCCUUACAGACACUCUUACCUUACUGCCACGAUGGCAGGAGGUCGGUAUUGCUGGACCCAUUAUCAGUUUCUCACUUGAGCUAGUUGAGAAACUGGUCAAUGACCAUGAACUUAGAUUGGAUAAACAUAAGGUAGGAACCCUAUGUGUUUCUUGCUGAGCAUACUCGGCCUGGUUUGAGAAACUUGAGUCAUUGGCUUGCACUUGCUAGUAUCAAGAACCCCCACGAUAUUGAGAUUGGUCCCUCAAUAUCGCUAGAUGAUAGCUUACCGUGUCUGCCAAACACCCUCGCUAUCAUGCCCUUUGUGUUAGUCUCAUUUUGGUCCCAAAUGCUAUUUAUAGAAAGUGUCCAGAUUUGCUCAUUUGGCAUAUCUGCGGAAUGUAGAGAUUGUCUUGAAUACAAUGGUGUUCGUCCCAUGCCCAAAUUCGCAAUCUAGGGACAUUCCAUAUUUAGUAAGUUUCGAGUUUGUCUCAGAGACUAACUCCUGAUACUAAGGGAGGCUUGGGGUGAAAGCCCAAAGCGUGUGUUCCUCAAGGGGGGGGGGGGGCUGUGGGGGUUCCAAAUGUAUAGUAAGGAUAGUGGGUAGGUUGGGCAUGGCUGACCAACCUGAGGCAUAGUCUAGCUCCCGCUUGCGUGCCUAUCCUUGUUCUGCGUCCGGCUUGGGUCUAAGCCCAAGUUCCAUUCCAUGCUAGUUGGUGGAGUACCCAUAUCCUCACGUUAGGCCACCGAUAUGCCGAAAUAGCGCCAGACUCCAUUUGGCUCCGUUUUGCAUGCUGGUCCUGGCAUUGGGAUGUUGGUUGCUCCAGGACUGUUCCAAGUCGCUCUGGGCUCCUGUCCCUUCGCUCCUUGGGCUUUAUGCUCGGGAGUUGCUCCGUGGUUCGGUUCCGACACUCCUUGGCUCCAUGCUUGGGAGUUUGGCACCAUUCUAUCGUUAAGUGGCCCAAGGCCCUGAACCUCGGGUUCUUAUGGACACGUGGCAUGGACAUGUGGCAUGUGACACGUGGCAUCUGUCACGUGGCACAAAGAGGGUUUAGGUUCCACUUCGUGGUGUUAUCCUAUGGUAAAUCACCAUAGGAUAAAGGGUCAAAACCACGUGCGCUACACAUAUAAAGUGUUGACCAGCAUUGACACUCAACCUUUUGCAAUGGAGACCCUCUGAAGGUUUAAUGGAGAGCGUAUGAUGACAGUAGGCUUGACUAUUGGCGACUUCAAGUUGUGAUUCAAGCUUAUAUUUGAAUCUCUCUCUCUCUCUCUCGGGUUUUGUGAGCUAUGGUGUGUGCUCUUGCCAAUCCCUGGCAAAUUUCUGCACAACGCCCUUCUUUUCUUGCUGUGGCUGCUGGUUUGCUGCCUGUUUUGGGAAUUGAGAUGAGUUGCGAUGCCAUUGGAGCUGUUGUUGUUAGUGGAUUUUCUUGUAGUGAGAUAACUUUGUAUCUGGUCACUAGCGAUGGAAAGAUUUUGGGAGAGUCACUGAAAUCACAAGUACUUUUUUUUUCUUUCUUCUUCAUAUUUAUUCUAUUUUGUUUUGUUCCUUUGGAUUCAAGGCAAAGUUCCUUUGACAAUAUGGUGGUGUGAUGUCUCUAGCAAUAUGUUUAAACCACAAGCAAGCAAUUGAUGAAGUAAGUUAUUCUCUUUUCAAUGGAAGUUUCGAGAGUUUUUUUAUGUUCUUUAGGUGGUGGCACAAGUUCUAGAGAAUGCAAAAGUGAAGGAGUCAAAACUUGCAAUAGUAGUUGUGACAAUUAGUCCUAGCUUGAGUUUAUGCUUGGAUGGUAGUGUUCUUUGUGAUCUUUCCUAGGCUUAUUGUCAUGCCUAGUCAAUGUGAUGCCCAGCAUCACAUUAAAGAAUUGCUUGGCAUGUACUUUUCAACCAUUGGCACCAAAGGAGGGACAUUCAUGGUUCACAUGCUUUUCAUUGUGGCAAAUCUAUAUAGUCAUUAGGAUAGUAAGUUUUUUACUUUCUUUACCAAGUGAAUUCAUGGGUGUAGAGAUUGGCCAGAUUCUGACAAUAGGUUUUAUCUCUUGCUAAUUGUGCUGCCAUGGUGAUGGAAGUGUGGUAUCAAAAGAUUUUGGGUUAUCCAGGUGGCAAUAUAUAGUGCGCUUGCUAAUCUAACCAAUGACAAAUUGUACCUAUGAGGUGAUAGAUUAUGUAUGUCUUUGGUGGCAUUAUCAGAUCAAAAUCCAAAACUAGUAGAGAUUUCAAUUUUGUUUAAUGGGUUACUCAAUUUUUUUUAUGUGAAUAACUUUAUUUUUAACGCUUUAUGAAUAAAAUAAUCAACUUUAAGUAAAAUUAUUCUGUUUUAUAAAGUAUUAUAUUUUAGGUCAAAAUUAACUUUUAUAAUUUAAUUUAACAGUAUUUACAAAUAUAAUAAGAAAAUUAUAUUCUGUACAGAUAGUCUGUCUAAAUAUCACUAAAACAUAUAAAACCCAAUACCAAGUGAUGGUAUAUCAAAUGUGGGUUAAUUUAAUUUUUGAAUAUGUAGGACUAUGAUAAAAGCUUCAACUAUUAAUACAAAAAAAUUAAACAACUUUAACAAUAAGAGUAUAUAUUAUAGUUUUAUAUAUAGCCUUAGCUACAUAUCUUAAAACUAAGAUAAUGUAUGCAGUAUUUGAUUAAACAGUAAUAUUUUGAAAUCUUUUUCCUAACUACAAAUAUAGUUUACUACUGCAUAAUACUAUAGAAUAUAGGAUUUUAAUUUAUAGUUUCCAUAACAUAUAUAUUACAAAUAAUUAUUUUCUUGACUGAAUCUGGGUUGUAAUAUAUUAAUGUUCCUAAAAGCUUAUUAUUUUAUAUUCUAAGUAAAACUCAUAAUUAAGUAAUGUCUUGCAGUAAUUAUUCUCUUUUAUUUGAUAAAAUCUCAAUAUAAGUUUAUCUCAAGUAAAAAUAUAAUUUACAUAUAACAUAUUAUUAAUAAUAGAAAAUUCAUUUUACUUUUAUCUGGGUCAGAUAUGUUUUUAAAUAUAUUCAUAUUUCCAAAUAAAAAGUUUUAUCUAAUAUUUUUAUUAAUGAAAAUUUAUUUUUACUUAUACCUAACAAUAUAUUUUGUUCUAAAUAUUUAUAUUAUCAAGUUUACAAGAAUUAGAUUUUGUAUUCAUCUAGCAUUUCUUGGGCAUAAUUUCCUUCAAUUAUUUUUUCAAAGUGAAAUACAAUAUUUUUUGUUUUGAUACUAUUCCAAUUUAAUUUUUAAUAUAUUAAAAAAUUAGAACAGCAUUUUGCUAACUACACAGCAUAUGCUGAGCAAGUGUUAGUAAAUAAUGAUAGCAAAUACACCCCAAUAAAUAUAAAAAGAUGUCAUGUAUGUGGCACUAUCUCUCCUUUUUAUGUCAAACAUUGAAUGCUAAAUGAAGUGAUAUAGAUAUUGUUGAUAGAAAUCCAACUAUGACUAAGAUGAAAAGUAAUCUCCCAAGUAUAAUCACUAAGAGAAUACCCAAACUAAUUCAUUAGAUAAUAAAGCUUGCAGUAUUGGUAUUUAAAGUUAAGGAUGGUAACGAACUCAAACUUCAAUUGCUAGUAAUGACCUAUGGUGGAACAUAAGUAAAAUCAUAAAGAGUGUGAUAUGAUAAUAAUAAAGAAAUAUAAAAUACCAAAUGCAACUUUGUGGAUAGAGCCAAUAAAUGAUUUAAGAAUGUGAAAGACCAUAGAAAAAAGAUCAAAACAUUGAUAAUCCAAUUUUUUAAAUGAGUUCAAUGAUGAUAAAGAAACAAAACUUAAGAUCUAUUGGAAAAGAAAGGCUAAAUAGUUAUUUACAGUAUAUCAAUCAGUAAUUUGGACAUAAAAAAGAUGUCACAGUGAUUAUAAGUGCUUUAAAUAGUGUCAGGCUUGGUGGUCAAAAAUAUCAUCCCAUUUUUGCAUUGUGAAAAAAAAAAACAAAUGGAAAAUUUGAUGUUCUUAGUUGACAUAGUGUUCUCACUUAUCAUUUUGGGGGACCUUGCUUUCAACUUUCAAUAUCAAAUUUCCUUGAAUUUUCUUGGUUCCAAAUUAUUUCUCUUACAUAAUUCUUUACUUUUAUAGUGUAUGUGAUUUUCACCCUUUACUUUAUGAUAAUUUACCAUACAGAGUAAACAAAGGGUGAAAGAACAAAACCAUGGAGUGACAUUGAAAUAAUAUUAAAGCAUUCAACUCUUAAACACCACUAACACACAAAAUAGAGCCUAACAAAGUUUAAUGUUAUUUUACAAUAUCAGCAGUUUAAUGUGAGGAUAUGAAUAUUCCACCAACUAACAUAGUAUAGAGUUUAAUUUAAACACAUAAUAAGGACAAAUAUGUUUAGUAGGGAGUUAGGCAAUGUUUGAGAUUAAUCAGUCAUGCUCAAUUUACCCACUAUUUCUACUAUACAUAAUAUAUAUACCACACAACCACAAACUUAGAUAAAACAAGCCUUCAACAGCUAGUGUGGUUCAUUCUACUAUAUUUACCACAUAUUUACAAGUGGUAAAUACUACAUAAGUUAUUGAAAUUGAACUCUACUCCCCUAGGAAGAAAAUAUAGAAGGGCUAUUGUGGCAUAUUGAGCAAUGGGACACUAUUUGCAUUUUACUGAGAGGAAGCCAAUCCUCUAGUUUGAGAGGAUGUAUUGAAACAAUGGAACAUGCAUUACAUCACUGCCUAACAUACACUCAUAUCUGCAUAAUUCCCAAUGAAUGCAUCAAGUCUCACAGCACUCCUAAACCACCCAAAGGCUAGGCUAAGGAGUUGGCAACAUUUCUAGUUGAUAUCAUACAGCAAUUCCAAUUUGAUUAAUAACUCUAUGUAAAAGAUAUAAAUAGAUCUUCCUCUUCCUCCAAUUAUGGAUCUUUGGCCUUGAGUAGAGCCAACAUAACACCUUACACUACAUAACACUCCAAUUACAAGUCAAAACAUUUAUAUCUAGUCAUUCUAUUACAACUUAAGUAUGCGAGCUGUACAAUUGUUUAUUGCUAAUGCAUAUGUUAAUUAGUAAUAACAAUUAUAUAUUACUCUAAAUUACUUCUUCUUAGAUAUAAAUUAGACCUCCAUCCCUUCACAAAAUUUAGUAUAUUCAAGCUUCUUAAUUUUUAUCAUUAGUUCAUUAUGAAAGCAAACCAAACAUUGGUACUCCACAUCAAGUUAUUUGAAGCACAUAAAAGCACUUAGUUAUGCUUAUAAACAAACACAAGAAUUUAAACACUAGUUAGUGAACCCUCAUAUCAUGUUUAUAUUUAAAUAUCGAAAGCAAUCAAGCAAAUGUUUAGCAAGUCAAUUUUGACUUUGUAGACCAGCCAAAUUUCUCAAACAGGCUCAAGACAACACCAUUGCUCCAUCCAAAGCCAGUCUACAAAACAUUAAACCAAGUACGUAAGUGAAAAAACUGUUUAUGCACAAACCGGAGGAUUGUACUCUCCACCAAGACCACUCCUGCCACAGUAUCUCGCGUCUAACUUCUCCAGCAUCUUCCCAACCCUUUGGAAUUCCGCAUAGCUCGACUUUAGCCAGCGCUGGGAUAUAUCCUCCGCCAGGGCCAACCCUUCCACAGAUCUAGCACCAGCAAAUCCUUCUAUUAUAAUAUGCUGGAGAUUGGGCCAAGCAUUCGGGUAGUCCCUGUUACAUUUCAUCCAACAUUACUAUAUGUCUUAAUAAAAGAGUCGACUAGUAACUUACCAUUGCUCUCCUGUUUCUCUCAGUGAGGUGACCACACCCGCAGCUAACAGCAGCCCCGAUUUCUUAAAAGAAGAGACGAGCUUCGAAACUUUCUCAUCGCCUGAAAUGAUAAAUAUAUUGUUUAGAAAACAGGAAAAAAAACAAAACAAUCGAAUACGUUACCUGGUCGCACCACUCCGCACCAAAGAGGGAAAAAGUUGGAAGGAAAAACAUCAGUGUUUUGGUUCUGUUUGUCGAAACUGUAGAUCUUUUGCUGCUUGAAUUCAAUGUCUGUGGCAUUGCGUUUCACCAGCCAGUAGUCGAGGUAUUGUCCCAUUUCUUCGUUCCAAAACACGGCAUUUAUGGCAGCUUUUCUCGACGUUGCAUGCAUGUGAAAUCGCCUUUGGAG
rnacentral:lncRNA from 1 species